UAUAACAAAAGGACAAUUCUUCCAUACAAUUAGUAACGACCAAUCGUGUCAAUAGAGCUACACCGGAAUAUAUGAAAGGCAAGAUGGUCGCAUCUGUCCCACAUCACAGAACCUCUAACAUCACCUGGUCAGUGUGUGUUCUCGGGGAUAUCCGUCAAUAAGAAAACCCUUGCUGCAUGAUGCCUUUGCUUCCAUGGCCUCUCUCAGAAGUUGAAGAACAAUAUCCUGCACAUGUUAAAGACAUCAGUGGUACAUGACGUUAUAAACAGUAAGUUUUUUUCCUCUUUCCGAGCCGGAGGUAACCUCUGCCCGAAGCAAGUCACCACUGGAUAAAUGAGUGAAGCCAAAAUUCUCUACAAUUCUUGCACACUGUGUACCUUUGCCACUGCCAGGACCACCUUGAAAUGAAAUGUUUUAAUGUAAUGGAAGUAUAGGGGAUUGAGAUGAAUCAGGGAAUGUCCAGCACUUGAGGAGGAGAGGCAACGUGCAAGGCCAGCACCCAAGGAGACGUAGUCAGAAUCCGAAAAAGAUGAUGAACAAGAUUGAUAUGUAGUUCAAUAAUAAAUGUUACAACUGUG